CUCUGAGUGCCGUGACCAUAUUUUUCUGAGCUGAGAAAUGAGGACACAGGAUGUAGUGGAGGGUUUUCUCAGAUUUGUCUCAUCAGAGGUAUGAAAGUUAAAGCUUAUUUAGCUAUGUAGAUAAGGGAGUGUCUUUGCUGAAAAGAACCCGGGUUUCCCAAAUCAGGGAGAUUCGGGAAAUUCAUAAGUCAAUUUGACUAAUCUUUUGGGGGCACCUGGGUCAAGCCUGUCCUUGGUGUUUGCACUACAGCAAGGAGCAAAAACAGGCACGAUCCUGGCCUCGUGGAACUCGUGUGGGGUGGCUGAGAGUCUGCAAAUGCUCGCACGGUUCAGUACCGCGAGCAUAUGUGAGAAUCGCUAUGGGGGGGGGGUGGGCGGCAAGGGUUCCCGAGUGGAGGAGCUUGGGGUGUCCUGGAAGGCUUCUCUGAAGAAUUAAUGUUUGAGGGGAAACAGAGCCUCUUAAGGUGAACUGUUGAAGGGAUGGGAGUGGGGUGGGGUGGGGAAAGCACAUUUCAGGCAGGAAGGAGGGCAUGUGCAAAGGGCCUGUGGCAGAAAGGAGUGCUGGGAGUCUGAGGGACAGGAGGGCAGCCCAGUGACCGGGAUGUGAUGAGCGAUGGGAAGAGGAAGUUGGAGGUGUCGGCAGGGGCCAGGCCGGGCCGCGCCCACCAGUCCACGAGCAUGGGGUACGUUCUCCUGCUGGUCGCGGGCAGCCAUGGACGGUUUGACACAGGUGUGACCUCACCAUUCCGUGUGGAAUGUUGUGAUACUGAGGAUGAUGACGAUGCUGGUAAUUCUCGGAAGUCUUUAGUGAGUGCUUACUAUGUGCCAAGCACCGGUCCAGCCAUUUUACAGAUGAGAAAGUGAGGGCUUGAGGGGGCGGGGGAAUGGUUUAUCCAAGAUCACGCGGCUGGUGAAUGGCCAAGCCGGAAAUCAGACUGCCUCCGUCUGGCUCUGAAGGCCCUUGCUCUUGUCCCACACCCAGAGCUGCCCCCCGUCUGGAUGCAGAAGGCCAAGGGACAUGCAGAUGACACCCGCCCCCUCCUUGCCUCAUGCCUUGCUGUGGUGUUGCCUCCACUCUGCUCUGUGUCCCAGGCCUGGGGACUCUGGGUCACGGAGUCAGGCGGGGCUGGAAAGGCCCAGCUCAGCUCAGUUCCCAUUGGGCCUGGCGGCGGGGGCGGGGGUGGGGGUGGGGGAAGCGGGCGUAAGUAGAGGUUGCGACAUCAGAGACUGAGGGUUCUGGAGAAGUUGGGACCCCGGGGGGGGGGGGGUAAGGGCCUCCGCCCUAGCCCGUUCCCUGGGGUGCAGGUCACACUACCAUCCCGGGAGCAGAGCCUCACUCACCUGUUUGAGGGCUAAGGACUUUGAGACGUGGCGUCACUAUCCCUGGGGAGUAGGGCAUCACCCCAGGCGCCCGCUUUCUCCCGUGGAAGCAGGUCUGGAUAAUUGCACACUACAGACUUACCAGUGGCAUUUUAAACAUUCUUCUUCCUCUUUCUUUUUUUUUUUUUUUUUUUUUUGCAUGUAAAAAAUUCUUACUCCCCCAGCGAUCAUCGGAGACAGGAAAAUCGAAAGCGCGUGAGAUACCGCUCCACAGAAAGUAACAAGUGCUGGUGAGGAUGUGGAGAAAUUGGAACCUUGGGCACCGUUUGUGGGGACGUAAAAUGGUGCAGCCCCUGUGGAAGAACAGGAUGGCGUUUCUUCAAAAAAUUAAAAAUAGAAUUACCAUAUGAUCCAGCAUUUCCACGUCUGGGCAUAUACCCAAAAGAAUCGCAAGCAGGGUCUCAAACAGAUACAUGUGCACCCAUGUUCCCUGCGGUGUUAUUCACGAUAGCCCAAAGGCAGAAACGACACAAGUGUAUCCAUCGACGCAGCACGUGGUCUAUGCGUACAAUGGAAUAUCAUUCAGCCUUAAAAAGGAAGGCAGUUUGGACACAGGCUUCGCCGUGGAUGAGCCUGGAGGACGUGGUGCGAAGGGAAAUAAACCAGGCACCAAAGGACGAAUACUGUAUGAUUCCACUCACGCCGGGGACUUGGGAGGGGCA
rnacentral:lncRNA from 1 species